rnacentral:rRNA from 1 species
CCUACGGGUGGCAGCAGUGGGGAAUAUUGGACAAUGGGGGCAACCCUGAUCCAGCCAUGCCGCGUGUGUGAAGAAGGCCCUCGGGUUGUAAAGCACUUUCAGUGAGGAAGAACGCCUGGUGGUUAAUACCCAUCAGGAAAGACAUCACUCACAGAAGAAGCACCGGCUAACUCCGUGCCAGCAGCCGCGGUAAUACGGAGGGUGCGAGCGUUAAUCGGAAUUACUGGGCGUAAAGCGCGCGUAGGUGGCUUGAUAAGCCGGUUGUGAAAGCCCCGGGCUCAACCUGGGAACGGCAUCCGGAACUGUCAAGCUAGAGUGCAGGAGAGGAAGGUAGAAUUCCCGGUGUAGCGGUGAAAUGCGUAGAGAUCGGGAGGAAUACCAGUGGCGAAGGAGGCCUUCUGGACUGACACUGACACUGAGGUGCGAAAGCGUGGGUAGCAAACAGGAUUAGAUACCCCGGUAGUC